UGGAAUGGGGUCCCUGAGAGAGGGGCCGUGCCUUGAAAAAGCGUCAGGGUGAGGGCGCCCACCCGCAGGUUCCUCUCCACCCCACUCUGUUCCUCAGACAAAUCCCCUCCCCCGCCGGGUGGGGGCGCUCCGCCUCUGCCGGGCCUAGCAGCCGGCUUUAGACUGAUGCUGUCCGGGAGAAUCAGACUGUUUAAUGGAAACAGCAUCCCGAAGACCUUCAAGCGGGUAUUGACGCGAUGUGAUUUCUGCCCAGAGCUCUGAACAUCGAAGUGGAGAAAUUCAAUGAAGGGCAGGUAAAGGGUGCGACUAAUUAUGACUCUUCGAGGCCCCCCAAAGCCUCCUCAUCGCAUUAGUGACCACUUGAAUGGGUGACAGAGGUGCCCCACUGUCCCUACCUACUGUCCACGGAAACCACAGCCAGGGGAACGGGAUUGGCGGCAUCAGCAGGGAAAGAAGACCCUGUUGAGCUUGGCUGUAGUCUGGCACGGUGAAGAGACAUGAGAGGUGUAGGAUAAGCGGGAUGCCCCGGCGGUCCGCAGUUUCCCGCGAGAGGGUGGGGCGGGAUCUGCAGGCCUUGCGGGUUGCAGGUGAAAUAAUACUUUCUUCACUGACCGGGUGUGAGGGGCCCGAGUCCUGAGAGGCUCUCACUUCCGGUGCCAAGCACUUGGUGUCCUCCAGGUGCGACCCAUUCCGGGGACAGUGCCAGGUGGGGAGUUUGACGUUCGAGUUUAAGCCUGUCAAACGAUAACGCAGGUGUUCUAAGGAGAGCUCAAAGAGGACAGAAACCUCCCGCGGAGCAGAAGGGCAAAAGCUCGCUUGAUCUUGAGUUCCAGUACGAAUACAGACUGCGAAAGCGGGGACCUCACGAUCCUUCUGACCUUUUGGAUUUUUAACAGGAAGUGUCAGAGACAUUACCACCGGGAUAACUGGCUUGUGGUGGCCAAGCGUUCCUAGCGACGUUGCUUUUUGAUCUUUCUCUGUUGGCUCUUCCUAUCACUGUGAAGCAGAAUUCACCAAGAUGGAUUGUUCCACCCACUCAGGGAACUGUGAGCUGGAUUUAGAAGGUCGUGAGACAGGUUUUAUUCUACUGAUGAUGUGUUGUUGCCAUGGAAAUCCUGCUCAGUAGGACUAGAACUACAGGUUCAGACACUUGGUGUAUGUGCUUGGCUGAGCAACGAAUGAGGCAAAGCUACUAUCUGUGGGAUUAUGACCGCAUGCCUCUAAGUCAGAAUCUGCCCAGGCAGAAUGAUAAGGCGGCCCUGAAGGAGCCUCACCUUUUUGGUGAAACCUGGAAUCCAAAUCAGCAGAAGCCUGCAGUACCUAAGAAUGCUCUCAGUUGUCUCUUAGUCUCUGGUCUGGGAAUAAACCAAAUAACCUUUUUCCUUUCAGGUCCCAGCCCUCUGAGUCCCUUUUCUAAGUAAAAACCUAAGUAUCACAUUUUAGGUUUGUUUACAGAUUUGGACCUUUUCCCAUGAGACCUUGUACCCAGUUUCUUGUAAAUGGGGUAGAAG
rnacentral:ncRNA from 1 species